GGAGAGGACAAGGAAGGAGAAAGAGAAACAUUGACACAGACACAGACACGCAUACGCGCGCGCACACACACACACACACAGAGGGAGGGCUAUGGAGGGAGAGAGAGACUGAUCUCAAAUCAGAGUGCUGCCUGUGAUUGGGUGAAAAUUAAUCUCAGUUUUAAAAUUUAGCAAUCCGUUACAAUAAUGCAGGAAAUAUGAUGUUACCAAAACAAUACAAAAGGAAGAUGUGGACUUCUGACCUCCACACAUGAAGACACAGGUGACACUGUAUAUCCACUGUCUUAGUCAGGGUUUCUAUUCCUGCACAAACAUCAUGACCAAGAAGCAAGUUGGGGAGGAAAGGGUUUAUUUGGCUUACACUUCCAUGCUUCUCUUCAUCACCAAAGAAGUCAGGACUGGAACUCAAGCAGGUCAGGAAGCAGGAGCUGAUGCAGAGGCCAUGGAGGGAUGUUCUUUACUGACUUGCCUCACCUGGCUUGCUCAGCCUGCUCUCUUAUAGAACCCUCUCUCUUAAGAUCACCAGCCCAGAGAUGGUCCCACCCACAAGGGACCUUUCCCCCUUGAUCACUAAUUGAGAAAAUGCCUUACAGUUGGAUCUCAUGAAGGCAUUUCCUCAACUGAAGCUCCUUUCUCUGUGAUAACUCCAGCUGUGUCAAGUUGACACAAAACUAGCCAGUACACCCACUCUCACACAUGCACAGAAAUAAAGAUAUCUGAAUUGUUUCAGAUUAUUCAGCUGUAAGUUAAUUAAACUUAUGCCAGGAAUGUCUCUUUGGCUUUGCUUUUCACUCAUUGUCUCUUAGUCUUUGGACUUCUUGGUGACUCCUCUUUCCUAUUCCAGUUCCUUCUGCCUUGUUUUCUCCCCACAACUUUUACAUGGAGGUUCGAGUGCUCCUCAUUAUCUACAGUGAUCUGCUUUUCAUUAGACCUAUACAACUGGUGCUAAUUGGUUUUACGUAAGUUAUAAAAAUGAUCAGCCUGCAAAGUUUAGUCAGACCCAUACAUGUUAUCAUGGUCAUGCUUUCUGGAAUGCAGAUAACUCUGUAGGUAGAUGGCCUGCUUACACCACUAAGAACCAGUUAGCUUUUGAUUACAUGAUAGUGUUUCUUUUAUAGUUUUGUAUCAUGCAGAGUUCUCAUGCAUGCAUUUUACAAAAUAAUAUUUAUUAUAAAACUACUUUUAUUGUAUGCUACAAACAUAAAAACGGACCAUAAGACAUUGUUUCACUUUUUUUUUUCAAGGACGAGCAGUUUCCCAAUCUGCCAUCUGCAAAGCAGAUGCCUUGGGAAAACAUAAAGUCUAAGAGACAAUGUCCAGUUAGUGUAGAUUUCAUUAUAGUUUUAAAGGUCUGAGAAUCAGGAACAUGGAAGACCAUACGCCAAGUCAACAGCCAAGCAGAAAGCAAAGUUAGUUUUUUCCUCUAUUCAAGUUCCCACACCACACCGAGGACCAUUUAUUUACUCAUCCCACCUAUUAUACACAUUCCUGUGUCCCUAAAGUCACCCUCCCAGAUAUAUACACUAAUAAAGUGUGGCACCUACGCAAACUUUCCUGCUUAAACAGGUGAAUAAAAAAUGAACACCUGCCUCCACAAAAAGAGUAAAUAUGCUAACCAGAGUAGUACAGGGAAGAGCCAAGUGGGAUGAAGCAGGUGGUUUCUCACGGUUUCACUACUUUCCAUUAUAAACUGGAUUAGAAAUCAAAAGUCUGAGAGAAAUGUGAUCACCUCAGCAGACUCAAAGCUGCUUUGUCAAUGACCCAUUUGACUCAGGUGGCAGAUUCUGCAGGAGCAGCAGAACCUAGAGACUAGCAGCCAGGAGGCUACAGUUCAGUGAAAAGCUGGAUUUAAGACUCUGGCUCCAAAUAUUAAAAGGAUAUGAAGAGGGAUGAAGGUGAACAUAUGAAUUCCUAAAUUAAUGGCAGCCAAACAAAGCAACAACCAGGGAACAUACCUGAAAACUUCUUUUAGCCAGCUAGCUGAGGAUUGAGCCACCAUGAUAUUGUCUUUUAAAAUAUAUGACCUCGUAUGGUAAGAUACAGGUAAAAGCCACGUAUAGGUAUAUCUCUACCCUAUGAGCCUUCUUUCAGUUAUCAAGGCAGCAAUGCCAAAUAUAAAUAUGUGUGAACUUGCUCCUAUUAAACAGCGAAAACUAUAAAAAAAGCAUGUGUACUGGAAUGUUAUUGAGCUAUUAAAAUCUAUUUGUGAUGAAAAUUAGGUUUGGUGUCACAUGAUUAUAAUCCCUGCUAGCUGAUAAACUGAAGCAAAAUGCCUGGACAAGAGAAUGAGCUUGAAGCUAGCCUGGGCAGUCUAAAGAGAUCUUGUCUUUAAAAGCAAAAUGAGUUCUUGAGAUAUAGCUUAGUGAUAGACCACGAAGGCCUAAGUUCAAGUCCCAGAGCUGUUAUUAUUAAUUAAUUAGUUAAUUAAUUAAUGCCAUUAUAGCAUAUCCAUAGUACAUUAUGUGGUAAAAGAGGAAUUAGAAAAAAAAAUCUUGUACUUAGGCACUCUGAAGGAGUCUCCUUCCAGCAGAACUUAUUAGUUUGUUUGGCCGCAGUAUGUUGGGGAAGAUCAUUAGGAGUCUCUUCUCUAAGAACCUUCUGGUAGAACUGAGAAACCAAGCCUGCAGAGCAGUAACUCAAAGUAGAAGUAGGAAACCCUCAUCUCACAGGCAGAGAUGAGAACUGGUGUACCGGAGGGACGAGCAAAAACAUGCAAAGAAAGCAUCAGUGGCAAAAAUGAGGUUAAAGGUGCUGACAGGACCCCAUCAUCAGGACCUGUUUAUGUCUUAUAAGUCUGCUUUAAACUUCAUCUUAAACACCAUUAGAAUGAAGAAGCCUGAACCAAAAAGUAUCCCGUGUCUAGAGGUUGGAGUGUCACAUAUCUGCACGAAUUCUUGAACAUCUGUGUUCACCAAGGUUGCCUGCAGGGGUCUUUGAACAGUAACUUUUCCUCACUCUAGUUUCUAAUGUCAUAUAUUGGUGCUUUGUUGGGAAAAUAUACAUUUCGUAUCCCAAGUGAUCUAUAGAAACACACAUCCUGAAAGAUGAUCAACACUGAAGUUCAAAAUCUCUUGCCCAAUGCUGACUGCAUAAAACAAGGGAAUCCUAGACAUGGAUAUACAAAUCCAUGAGAAGGGACCUAUUUUUAUGUAUAGAUUUUAUGAAACACGGGCUAUAUCAGAGACCUGAUUGGACUAGAGGUUAUGGUCUAAUACUUGGACUACACAACACCCCUGCAAAGCCAGUUCUUUGAGAUUCUUCUAAGCCCCUGAAGCAUGCCCUCUUCAUCAUAAAACAGGACCCUUUUGAAAUGAGGAUCGUCUGACCUACUAAAUGGCAGAGUGGGUCAAAGAAUUGUUUUCAGCGCCAGUUCCAGGAUAGAAUGGCAUGAAAUAUUAAAGCAAUAUUUGGAAGCAUAGUGCAGCUUGGUUUGAAAAAGGGGUUUCCAGUUUGUAUGACUGAUCUCCAGGAAAAAGAACUGUAGUUCCUAUAGCUUGCUUUG
rnacentral:lncRNA from 1 species